rnacentral:rRNA from 1 species
UACGUAGGGUGCGAGCGUUGUCCGGAAUUAUUGGGCGGAAAGAGCUCGUAGGCGGUUUGUUGCGUCGGCCGUGAAAACCUGCAGCUUAACUGUGGGCCUGCGGCCGAUACGGGCAGACUUGAGUUCGGUAGGGGAGACUGGAAUUCCUGGUGUAGCGGUGAAAUGCGCAGAUAUCAGGAGGAACACCGGUGGCGAAGGCGGGUCUCUGGGCCGAUACUGACGCUGAGGAGCGAAAGCGUGGGGAGCGAACAGG